UACGGAGGGGGCGAGCGUUAUUCGGAAUCAUUGGGCGUAAAGGGCGCGUAGGCGGCCCCGUAAGUCUUGGGUGAAAGCCCUCGGCUCAACCGAGGAAUUGCCUUGGAUACUGCGGGGCUCGAGGCUGGAAGAGGACAGUGGAAUUCCCGGUGUAGCGGUGAAAUGCGUAGAUAUCGGAAGGAACAUCAGUGGCGAAAGCGACUUCCCGGACCAAUACUGACGCUCAUGUGCGAAAGCGUGGGGAGCAAACAGG
rnacentral:rRNA from 1 species